ensembl:lncRNA
AGAUGCUGACAUAGAUGAUGUUCCUGUUGCGGUUGUAGAUGAAGUUACAGUUGUUGUUGGUUGAGCUGUUGUCGUUGAUUCAGCUGUAGAUGCUGGCAUGGAUGGUGUUCCUGUUACAGUUUUAGAUGAAGUUUCAGUUGUUUUUGGUUCAGCUGUUGUUGUUGAUUCAGAUGUGGAUGCUGGCGUAGAUGAUGUUCCGGUUACAGUUGUAGAUGAGGUUUCAGUUGUUGUUUGUUCAGCUGUUGUCGGUGAUUCUGCUGUAGAUGCUGGCAUGGGUGAUGUUCCUGUUACAGUUUUAGAUGAAGUUUCAGCAGUUGUUGGUUCAGCUGUUCUCGUUGAUUCAGAUGUUGAUGCUGCCAUAGUUGAUGUUCCUGUUACAGAUGUAGAUGAAGUUUCAGUUGUUCUUGGUUCAGCUGUUGUUGUUGAUUCAUAUGUAGAUGCUGGCAUAGUUGGUGUUUCUGUUGCAGUUGUAGCUGAAGUUUCAGUUGUUUUUGGUUCAGGUGUUGUUGUUGAUUCAUAUGUAGAUGCUGGCAUGGAUGAUGUUCCUGUUCCAGUUGUAGAUGAAGUGUCAGUUGUUGUUGGUGCAGCUGUUGUCAUUGAUUCGGAUGUAGAUGCUGGCAUGGGUGAUGUUCCUGUUGCAGUUGUUGUUGGUUUCGCUGUUGGCGUUGAUUCCGAUGUUGAUGCUGGCAUAGAUGCUGUUCCUGUUGCAGUGGUAGAUGAAGUUUCACUUCUUGUUGAUUCAGCUGUUGUCCAUGACUC